GAACGCUAGCGACAGGCCUAACACAUGCAAGUCGAGGGGCAGCACAAGGAGCAAUCUGAGGUGGCGACCGGCGCACGGGUGAGUAACACGUAUGCAACCUGCCUGUAAGCGGGGAAUAACCCGUUGAAAGACGGACUAAUACCGCAUAAUACUAAAUUACUGCAUGGUAAUUUAUUUAAACAUUUAUGGCUUACAGAUGGGCAUGCGCAUGAUUAGCUAGUUGGAGAGGUAACGGCUCCCCAAGGCAACGAUCAUUAGGGGUUCUGAGAGGAAGGUCCCCCACACUGGUACUGAGACACGGACCAGACUCCUACGGGAGGCAGCAGUGAGGAAUAUUGGUCAAUGGACGAGAGUCUGAACCAGCCAAGUCGCGUGCAGGAAGAAUGUCCCUAUGGAUUGUAAACUGCUUUUGCAGGGGAAUAAAGUGCAUCACGUGUGAUGUUUUGUAUGUACUCUGCGAAUAAGGAUCGGCUAACUCCGUGCCAGCCGCCGC
rnacentral:rRNA from 1 species